CCUACGGGUGGCAGCAGUGAGGAAUAUUGGUCAAUGGGCGCUAGUCUGAACCAGCCAAGCCGCGUGAAGGAUGACUGCCCUAUGAGUUGUAAACUUCUUUUAUAUGGGAAUAAUAUGUAGUAUGUAUACUGCUUUGCAUGUACCUUAUGAAUAAGGAUCGGCUAACUCCGUGCCAGCAGCCGCGGUAAUACGGAGGAUCCGAGCGUUAUCCGGAUUUAUUGGGUUUAAAGGGAGCGUAGGCGGGUGGUUAAGUCAGUUGUGAAAUGUUGCGGCUCAACCGUGAAAUUGCAGUUGAUACUGGCAGCCUUGAGUACAGUAGAGGUAGGCGGAAUUCGUGGUGUAGCGGUGAAAUGCUUAGAUAUCACGAAGAACACCGAUUGCGAAGGCAGCCUGCUGGACUGUAACUGACGCUGAUGCACGAAAGUGUGGGUAGCAAACAGGAUUAGAUACCCCUGUAGUC
rnacentral:rRNA from 1 species